UGGUAUUGAUAAAGGUUUAAGUUUGGGGUUGUUGGGAAAUUUGAAAAAGAAAAUAAAAAAAAUAAGCAUUGAGCUAAGUGUUGAGCAAAGGAAAAUGAAAAGCAAAAGUAAAAGAAAAAGAAAAAGAAAGAAUGAAAGGAAAGAAAAGCUUAAUGCAAGGGAAAUUUGGGAAUAAGUGAAAAUGGUUUUUUGAAAAGAGAUAUUGUGUUUGAAUGAUGAAAUUAUGUUUGAUUGUGGUUAAAUGAAAGACAAAGUUGAUUUAUGUGACAUUGUGAUAGUAGAGUGGAUGAGUCACCUCGAUAUACAC
rnacentral:lncRNA from 1 species